AACGAGUUUCCGGGCUUGCUCGGAAAUUAGUGGCGAACGGCUGAGUAACGCGUAGGUGACCUACCCCGUAGUGAGGAAUAACUGCCCGAAAGGGUAGCUAAUACCUCAUGUUGAGACGCUUUCAUUAGCGUCUCCAAAGCAGCAAUGCGCUAUGGGCGGGGCCUGCGUUCGAUUAGCUAGUUGGUGAGGUAAUGGCUCACCAAGGCGACGAUCGAUAGGUGGUCUGAGAGGACGAUCACCCAGACUGGGACUGAGACACGGCCCAGACUCCUACGGGAGGCAGCAGUCGGGAAUUUUGCGCAAUGGGGGAAACCCUGACGCAGCAAUACCGCGUGUGGGAUGAAGGCCUUCGGGUCGUAAACCACUUUUCUCGGGGACGAUAAUGACGGUACCCGAGGAAUAAGCCACGGCUAACUACGUGCCAGCAGCCGCGGUAAUACGUAGGUGGCAAGCGUUGUCCGGAUUUACUGGGCGUAAAGCGCGCGCAGGCGGUGAAUGAAGUCCAAAGUGAAAGCCCCGGGCUCAACUCGGGAACAGCUUUCGAAACCAGUUCACUUGAAGGUGGAAGAGGGAAGUGGAAUUCCGAGUGUAGCGGUGGAAUGCGCAGAUAUUCGGAGGAACACCAGAGGCGAAGGCGACUUCCUGGUCCAAUCUUGACGCUGAGGCGCGAAAGCUAGGGGAGCAAACAGGAUUAGAUAUCCUGGUAGUCCUAGCUGUAAACGAUGGAUACUAGGUGUUGGAGGUUUUAACCCCUCCGGUGCCGCAGCUAACGC
rnacentral:rRNA from 1 species